UAACUUUUCCCGGCAUCUACUGCGAGGCGGUCUCUGGUGGACUCUAGUUUUUCUUUUCUCUUCUUCCUGAGCUCUACCCUCACAGCCCAGCACCACCCCUCUGGUUGAAACCUGGUCUCACUGCUCGGCCAGGCUGGGCUCCAACUUGCCGAUGGGCGAGUUUCAGACCUAGUGACUGUCCCUUUUUCUGGAAGUGCUUUUGCUCCGAGUGUUAACGUGCCCCACUCAGUUCUUUCCUGGCCACAGGGUGUCUCUGACCAACUGGACACAAGUCCUGGGGAGGACACAAUUCCCAAGGAAUAACCAUGCCUCUUCCGAGAGUCCUCUUUUUUCUGUCUUUUUCUACCUGAAGUGAGCCAGGCCUGGAGCUGUGCCAGGGAGUUUACACCCAGCAGCUGGAGCAGAGUGGCGGCCCUGCAGGGCCUCUGAAUUAACGGCUGGCAGUGCCCCCCAAAAGCGUCCCACGCAGGGCUCUGGGUCCUGGUUUGCAAGCAGCUUAUGUAAUUUAGUUAUCCAAGUCAGUUAUACUGUAAUACAGAAUCCUCAUUCCAUCUGUUUUUACACUGCAAGCCAGAGGAUGGACUGGGGACACCUGAUUUCCUGCCUGCUCGGGCACCACAUACGUGGGAUUCAGGCAGGACACAGGACUUUCUAUUAAACCUUUCCUGUUCUCUCACAGCAGUUUCCUUUUUUGUUGCUUUAGACAAGGUCUCACUAUGUAGCCCACGCUGGUCUCAAACCCACAGCGAUCCGCUUACCUCAGCCUCCUGAGUGCUGGGAUUACAGGAGUGUGCUGCCAUGUCCAGCUAGCAGGGGUUUUUUUUAAUCAAGGAACGAACUCAGGAUCCUGCGCUUGGGAGGCAAGUGCAGCACCACUGAAGUACGGGGAUCACACUCAGGACUUUGCUCUUGCCAGGCAGGCACCGUGGUACUGAGCUGCAUCCCUGGCCCUGAAGCAGUUCUGAAGUCCUUUCAUGUCUUUUUAUGAUCAAAAACCCAGUGAACGCUGCUGCCAAGUACAGAGGAAAGGCGGGCUUGUAAAAGAUUACAUUAUGUCCUCAUCCACCUUAUUCAUUGGAUCUGGCCCCGUGUGGUUUCUGGCUUCUCCCCAAAGGAAAAAGUAACCGUGAAAAAGGUAAACAUGUUCAGUCCAUUCAGGAC
rnacentral:lncRNA from 1 species